AAAAGCGGUCCAGGCAAAAUUAGGGAUAAAAUAAAUCAAUCAAAAGAGGUCAUUAAAUCCUCGACAAAAACAAAAUAAGGUGACUGCCAUUUCAAGAAAAUUCGUCUUGAACCCUCAUCACACCUUCAAAAAGCGGUCCAGGCAAAAUUAGGGAUAAAAUAAAUCAAUCAAAAGAGGUCAUUAAAUCCUCGACAAAAACAAAAUAAGGUGACUGCCAUUUCAAGAAAAU
rnacentral:lncRNA from 1 species